AUAACGAGAUGGGAAGCGGCUUGCUUCCUGUGUAUGAUUGAACCCCAGGCGCUGAACGCGCUGAGGGUUCAUUUUUAU
rnacentral:sRNA from 2 species